UGCAAAAAAAUAGCCCGAUACUAUUCCUGUUUCGGGCCUAGGGGAAUGGCUCGUUAGAGCCUUGCGCUAACUGGUUAGUAAUGGAGAUCAAUUACACUAUCAAUACUAGUUCACCAUACUAAUUUUGCCAGUUU
rfam:Photobacterium damselae subsp. damselae CIP 102761 Contig58, whole genome shotgun sequence.